GUGAGUGAGUGGGUGCAGGCGUGAAGAAAAGCUGACGCCUGACGGCGUGCAUCAACAUCAUCAAAGCUCCACAUUUUCCCUCUUCUAAUUAUUCACUUAUAGCUUCUUUACUAUUUUAGAUUUUCUCAUUUCAUUUAUAUCUAUCUUAAACCUUUUUCACAUUAACACUUAAUUAAGAAACCAACCCAUAUGUCAUGUUCUAUUCCCUUAUAUAUAUAAACAACAAGGUGUAAUCAUUAUCUCAGACAUCUGGUAUUCUGGUGCAUG
rnacentral:lncRNA from 1 species